AUGUUCCUCACGUCUUUACUGCUGCUGCUGAUUGCAGGAUGUUGUCUCACACAGUCUGAGCGGUCAGUAACAGUGACUCCAGGUGGAUCCCAGAAACUGACCUGUGCCUGCAGUGGAUUCAGUGUGGGGGGCUAUGGCAUGAAUUGGAUCCGACAGGCUCCUGGAAAAGGACUGGAAUGGAUUAUUUACUAUUAUACUGAAAGUAGCAAAUACUCAGCCCAGUCAGUUCAGGGCAGAUUCACAGCGUCCAAGGACAGCUCUAAUCUCUACCUGCACAUGAGUCAACUGAAGCCUGAAGACACUGCAGUGUAUUACUGUGCUAGAGGCUCACUGUGGUAG